UUUAAAAGAAGCUGGCUGGGAUCUGUGCUUAUAGUGAGCCCAAAGGAGGGCUUGUGUAUUGCCCAAGCUAAUUUGUAAUGUCAAAGAACAAGGUUCUUUCUGGAUCUGGAGACAAUAAUAACAUAAAUGGAAUGAAAGUUGCAUGUUUUAUUAACUACUAAGCAACACAUACAAAAACAGAAAGCAAAGCAGUUAAUCUUCAAUCUCUCUUGUUGCCUGGGAACCUCAGAACAGCAGCAGACCCCUCUAGGAGCUGAUCAGCACAUAGCACCGUUCCAGGAUCUGGUCUGUGCUGAGUUCCGAUCCGGGACAGUUUUGCAGGGCUUUUUAUACUGUUAAAUGUUAAUGAACCACACCUGCUAUUUGGGUUGUUCCUUAGUGCUUGUGCCAAUGUUUGUGAUGUCUCAAGGCUGAAACAGCACUUAACUUGUGAGAAAGUGCGGGCUGAUUCAUCAGAAAACGAUGACACCUCAUCUACUGACCGUACGAGAGGAGCAAACGUGAGCGUCUUUGGUGUCUUUGACGGGCAGCAGCAAUCAUUACUCUACCAUGGAGCACUACCAGAAAAGGCUUAAAAACAAAAUAAGAGUCAUGGGAACUUAUGGAGAACUGUACUUGGACAGAAAGAUAUACUCGGACAAACCCUAAACCAGACCCUGACACGCUGAUAACCCUCCAUGUUGAUGAACGCUUGUUUCUCAUGUUAUGUUUUUGUAUGUUUAUAUGAUAAAGCCAAUAAAAAUAUGUUUGUUUUAAAAGAUAA